AAAGAAAAAAACCCACGAAGAUUGGUAACAGGUGUCACCACAGGUGCCAAUCUUUAAAAAACAACAACGACUUUGGUUUUCCUUUGCCCUCCUAUUUAAAUGACAUUCUGUCUCUGUAGCGGUCUUCAGCUGGUAACAUCGAUGUGCCCCCGGGGAGCACUCGUUCGCAAACUUGAGACCAUCUGCAUCAGCUGGAGGGCUUGUUAGACACAGAUCUGGGCCCCAUCCCCAGAGUUUCUCAUUCAACAGGCCUUGAGUGCAGCCCAGGAAUUUUCUGACAAGUUCCCUAGAGAUGCUGCUACUACUGCUGGUCCAGGCAUCUCACUUUGAGAAUCACUGGUCUGGAGUGUAAGUAGAAAGGGUCUGGGCGUGCCACCUGUGUUUGAAAACUGGGGCAUUGAUGCAUGAUUUAUAAGCUGCAGAAACUAUCACACGUGGUUCCGGCUGCUUUGAAUAUUCGUUGGUGGUUUGGUGUGUUUGCCCAGCACAUCAACUCGCCACUUUGUGGGUCUUGGUGAAGCCGAACUCAGCCUCCAUUCAGCCUCUUGGGUGAAUCCCCACUGACUGCGGCUGAGCAGACUGAGAAGAAACUGUAAAGAGAGGACCACAUCUCUAUGUGUUCAGAUUUUCAUUUCAGGGAAGCUCCAUCCUCCGGCUGGCAGCCUGCCCAGCUGUUAAAACUCUGAGGUUCCCUGAAGGAUGAACAAGCCCCAAGGGAGUGCAGAGGCAUGCUCUAACCUGCAACAGGUGCACACGGAGAAAGAACUCAAAUGGACAAAGGCCAAAAAUGCCACAGGAUUGCUUCUGGCAAGUGAAGCCAUGACCACUCCUUCCAAUUGUCCUGAUCAGUGUCUGCCCAUUUCCGUGGCAUAAAUAUUCCUAUAAUGGCUGACUGCAAGAUACCAACAGUUUAAAAACUGGUUCGCAAAAUUCCUGAAGAUUUAAUUAUUGGUAGAGAGCAAAACUAUUCUGAUUAGAAGACACACGGGAUGACCUAGGGGUGUAGCAAUAAAGCCCUAAUUAAUAGACUUCAUUUGCCUGCAGAGUCUCUUGUGGACUAGUCGCAGCAGGUAGCAAUCAGGGAUUCAGGGUCUGACCGUCUGAUCAUGUCUAGUCCUAGAUAGCAAAUCCCCAGCCUCGGUCACGUGCCCACUCCUGUUGCCAGGAUGUGUGACAGAGGAAGGGGGAGAAGAGAUGCUGGGAAGACGAAAUGUGGGAAACGAGAGAACCUGUGUUGGGGGUGAUUUCCCAGAAUCUAUCAGAAGCUCCAUUUUCAGGGAAGGUGGCUCUUUGACAAGCACUCAGCCUUUUGGAUUAGGCAACGAACUCAAAUUUGGGGCCCGCCACUUUUUCAGUGGAACCUUUAACCAUUUACUUACUCUAGAUUGGAUUUCUGACUUAGGAAGUUGCUACAAGGAUUGAAUACACCACGUGUAAGGCACUUGGUUGGUCCAGAUGUGCUCAGAGCUCACUUUCUUUCAAGCCCUGCAUUUAGUCAGCGAACACUUAUUGACUGCCUACUAUAUGUCAAUCUCUGUGCAUACAAGAACAAAUAAAAACGGAGUUUGUUAGGAUAGUUUCAACUAGAAUUGGAGAGUCUUACUUGGCAUCAAGAAUGUGGGGACAAAGCUGCUCCAAGGUCAGGCA
ensembl:lncRNA